UAUUGGUCAAUGGACGAGAGUCUGAACCAGCCAAGUAGCGUGCAGGAUGACGGCCCUAUGGGUUGUAAACUGCUUUUAUAGGGGGAUAAAGUGUGCCACGUGUGGCAUAUUGCAGGUACCCUAUGAAUAAGGACCGGCUAAUUCCGUGCCAGCAGCCGCGGUAAUACGGAAGGUCCGGGCGUUAUCCGGAUUUAUUGGGUUUAAAGGGAGCGUAGGCCGUCUUAUAAGCGUGUUGUGAAACGUCGGGGCUCAACCUGGGCAUUGCAGCGCGAACUGUGAGACUUGAGUGCGCAGGAAGUAGGCGGAAUUCGUCGUGUAGCGGUGAAAUGCUUAGAUAUGACGAAGAACUCCGAUUGCGAAGGCAGCCUGCUGUAGCGCAACUGACGCUGAAGCUCGAAAGCGUGGGUAUCGAACAGG
rnacentral:rRNA from 1 species